AGGAGAAUAGUUAAAUAUAACAUUUUUAUUGCAAAAAAAAAGUGUCUAGAAAUAGACUUCUCUUA
rnacentral:tRNA from 1 species